UGGGGAAUCUUCCGCAAUGGACGAAAGUCUGACGGAGCAACGCCGCGUGAGUGAUGACGGCCUUCGGGUUGUAAAGCUCUGUUAAUCGGGACGAAAGAGCCUUGUGUGAAUAAUGCAAGGAAGUGACGGUACCGGAAUAGAAAGCCACGGCUAACUACGUGCCAGCAGCCGCGGUAAUACGUAGGUGGCAAGCGUUGUCCGGAAUUAUUGGGCGUAAAGCGCGCGCAGGCGGAUGCGUAAGUCUAUCUUAAAAGUGCGGGGCUUAACCCCGUGAGGGGAUGGAAACUGGGCAUCUAGAGUAUCGGAGAGGAAAGCGGAAUUCCUAGUGUAGCGGUGAAAUGCGUAGAUAUUAGGAAGAACACCAGUGGCGAAGGCGGCUUUCUGGACGACAACUGACGCUGAGGCGCGAAAGCCAGGGGAGCGAACGGG
rnacentral:rRNA from 1 species